rnacentral:rRNA from 1 species
AGGGUUCGAUUAUGGCUCAGGACGAACGCUGGCGGCGUGCUUAACACAUGCAAGUCGAACGGAGGGCGCGGAAGGCAACGGAAGCGCUCUUAGUGGCGGACGGGUGCGUAACGCGUGAGCAAUCUAUCCUGCGGAGGGGGAUAACAUCUGGAAACAGAUGCUAAUACCGCAUAAGACCACGUUCUCGCAUGAGAGAGGGGUCAAAGGAGAAAUCCGCGGCAGGGUGAGCUCGCGUCCCAUUAGAUAGUUGGUGAGGUAACGGCCCACCAAGUCAACGAUGGGUAGCCGAUCUGAGAGGAUGACCGGCCACAUUGGAACUGAGAAACGGUCCAG